UGGUGAGCCCGUGCCGCUCGCUGUCUUGCAGGGAGCACGAUGAGGGAUGCCGACAUCAGGAGGCUGGGGGCUGCCAACCUGCUCUGCCUUGCCUCCGUCGUGCUGAGCGCGGUCGUGCCAGCCUUCUUCCUGGACGGGUUCACGGUUCUGGGGACGCACCUCACGUGGCUGUGCGUUUGUUCUGUUUGCGUCGGUACCCUUAGUGUAAUCUUGUGUUUAGUCCUAAAACCAAGCCUGUCUCCUAAGAGAAGCUCCUGGGCUAACAAGAUAUCCAGAUUUCUAAAAUGCUGUAUAUACUUUUUCAUGUCUUGCAUACUAUUUCAUGCGAUUAUUGUUCUUUAUGGAGCACCUCUCAUAGAGUCAGUGACUGAGACAUUUUUGUUUGCAGUUCUCCUGUCUACCUUUACUACUUUACAAUGUUUAUGUAUGCUGGGACCAAACAUACAAGCUUGGAUACGGGUAUUUAGUAAAAAUGGAGCUACCUCCAUCUGGGAAAACAGUCUACAGAUUACUACAACAUGCAGUAUACUAGGAGCUUGGUUUGGAGCAUUUCCUAUUCCUCUUGAUUGGGAUCGACCUUGGCAGGUAUGGCCCAUUUCCUGUUCCCUCGGAGCUACCUUUGGCUAUGUGGCUGGUCUGAUUAUUGCACCUCUGUGGAUACACUGGAACCGGAAGCAGCUUACAUACAAAAGCAGAUAACUGGAGCAAAGAGAGACAAGAACAGCUUCUGCUAGACCCAUCUUUUCAUCUGGAAGUCAGCAGCUACGGGAGGAGGACUGUUACCGUGAAAACAGAGAAGAGACGAGAAAAGACGUGUGAGAGCAAGCACAGGAGGAGAUUCUACACUAGCAAGGAGGCAACCAUUGGCCAGCACUCUUUGGUGUCCUCAUGUGCAAUUUUGGUUAUACAGACUUCACUGCCAGUCCUAUAUACUCCGCAGUUUUGUCAGGAAGCCAGACCAUGCUGAACUGUAAACAUGGACACACCAUUUCACAGCCCCAGUAGCUGAAACUACUGUGAAAUGUUUGACAGCCCUUUUGGAAGAUCUGCUGUUUCUCUGCUAGUGUUCGGGUCCUGUCCUGUUCCAGAAGAAAAACCUAGGUGGAGAUCAAAAUUCUUAAGGAAGCUUCCCAACUGCAAAUUAGACAGGUCCCAGAGUAUGAAAUCUGCAUGCAAGAACACUCGCACAGAUCCAUCAGUUGCUCUCCAAUUCAGCUCUACUAAAUCAUAUGCUGGAUAUUACUGAAAAGUUUUUCUUAAAAAAAUAAAAAGCAGUAUGAAGUCCUAAUUUAUUCCUACCACCAAAGAAUUUCCUUCACUACACUCCAUGGUUUGUAAAAGUCUCUCACCUGUGUUACAAUACUGUCUGCGUUAAAUAUUGGAAUGGAGAAAACAUUUUACUGUCACCAGAAAUUACUGCUAGUCCACUGCCAUUAAGAUACCCGUUAGUUAAUCCAUUUCAAAUUACAGACUGACUGUUUAUUCUUGGCAAAUACUCAUCAUUUGCGAAUCCCAAAGCCAAGUUACCUUUGCAUGAUUAAUUUCAGAACUUUUACCUUUAGUUUAUCGUUUUUAAGACCCAUUGGAUACAAAUCCUUGUACAUUUGGCCACAUCUUGGUAGUGCACCUUACUUCCCAAGCGUUCACCAGUGGUCAUCCGUGAGUGAGCAUGUUUAGUGCUUUUUAAGGAGUGCUCAUUGCUGAUCUUUCCUGUCCCUCAUCUAUUUAUAUGCCUUUUGAUUUAUACCCUGCUCCGUCUGCACUGGGCAAGCGGUGGGUCCACCCUGCGUAAUUAAGAUGUUAAACUGAAGGCAAGUACAGUGUGAUUGGAUACUUUAUGUACCACAGCCAAAGAUGUACGUGGUAUUCGCUACAGUGACUUCACUGCAUUGACGCUUAAAUUAACAGAGAAUUUGGCUAUACCCACUAAGCCUGCUGCUUGAAACAAACCAGUGCUGUCAGGCUCUCGUUUAAACCUCACCUGUGCUAUGAAAAUUAUGUUCACGUUGAUACUCAUAAUGGCCUACCACCGCUUGUUUUAGUUAAGACAGGUAAUUCUCAUGUAAUCUACCCCCACAUGAUCAGUUUUAAAGCAUCCAAAACUUGGCUGUUUGUUUUCCCAGUCCUGCAUCCUCAUAAGAGAGAGCCUGGCUUCAAUGUUAGCAGCAUCUAGUGGGCCGUCUGUGUGUAAAGGCUCCUUCUGCUCCCCAACAAAUCCCCAGAAAAUAACAAUCCAAACUGAAAGCUUUCUCUGACUUACUGCUGCCCUUGGUAAAAGAAUCUGAAGUACCAUAUGAAUUUAGGCUGAGUAUUAGAGAAGCCUGGAAAAAAAUCUGAUCGCUUCAAUUAUAAUUUAUUUCCUGAAUCUAGUAUAAGGAAAAUAAAUGUGGCUUAUUCUAAAAUUAAAUGCAAUGGCAAAAUCCAAUUAUCCUAGUCAGUCAACAUAAAUUCCAAUUUGAGUGCAUGUACACACCGUGCUGUACAGCAAUUAAACUUCCAAUCUAAUUGGGGGAGGCACUGCCUAUAUAUUUAGGCAUUAAAAUAUUUAAAGAAUUUAACUGGAAUAUUUUAAGAAUAUAAGUAAGAUGGGUAGGAAAGCCACUAAGGAUCAGAAUACGCACUAAGCUCUCAAAAAUUCCAGACUCUACUGAAAUGUCUCCUUCUCCAAUAUUUGCUGGACUUUAAAACAAUAUUGUUCACGGUUUGCUGAAGCAGAUAAAUACAGAUAGAA